AUUUGAUGCCUUGUAAAAAAUGUGAAAAAAAGCUAACUAAAUUAGCUACCCCAGAUGUUAAAGAAGGGCAUAAAAGACAAAUUAAUUUAAAUAAAACUCUAGAAAAAGUAUCAAAAAAAGACAAACUGGAUCCUAAAGGGGCUAAAUGCUCUAAUUGCAAAGCCGUAUUACAUGUCAGAGGAAAACUAUGUCCUACAUGUGCACACCGGUCGGGAAAAUGCUAUUUAUGCGGGAAAAAGAUAUUUGAUACGUCACAACAUUGCAUGUCAAUUGUAUAGUUUGAUUUUUUCAGUUUUAAUAUGCUUUUAUUGGACCAGAAGAUGGAAG